rnacentral:rRNA from 1 species
GGUAAAGGGCAGCAAGAGGAGGACAAGCAGGAGUUGAAGGACACCUUGGGCGUUCAGUCGGAAGCAUUAAGUGAGAAGUAUCUUGGGCUCCCAACACUAGUUGGGAAAUCCAAAGAUGGGACCUUCAAAUAUGUGACUGAAAGUGCGAAGGGCAAAGUGGAUGGAGUGAAGGGGCAGGGUUUGUCAAAGGCAGCAAGGGAAGUGCUGAUCAAAUCGGGGCUUCAAGCUGUACCCACAUUCACCAUGAGUUGUUUCCAGCUCACGAAGAAAAUAUGCCGGAACCUGACAUCAAUUUCCUCUAAAUUCUAG